rnacentral:rRNA from 1 species
UACGGAGGAUCCAAGCGUUAUCCGGAUUUAUUGGGUUUAAAGGGUGCGUAGGCGGCGCGAUAAGUCAGUGGUGAAAGUUUGCGGCUCAACCGUAAAAUUGCCAUUGAUACUGUCAGGCUUGAGUACAGAUGAGGUAGGCGGAAUGUGUCAUGUAGCGGUGAAAUGCAUAGAUAUGACACAGAACACCGAUUGCGAAGGCAGCUUACUAAAGUGUAACUGACGCUGAGGCGCGAAAGCGUGGGGAGCAAACAGG